CCUACGGGUGGCAGCAGUGAGGAAUAUUGGUCAAUGGACGCAAGUCUGAACCAGCCAUGCCGCGUGCAGGAAGACGGCUCUAUGAGUUGUAAACUGCUUUUGUACGAGGGUAAACGCAGAUACGUGUAUCUGUCUGAAAGUAUCGUACGAAUACGGACAGGCUAACUCCGUGCCAGCAGCCGCGGUAAUAAGGAGGAUUCAAGCGUUAUCCGGAUUUAUUGGGUUUAAAGGGUGCGGAGGCGGGCGGAUAAGUUAGAGGUGAAAUCCCGAGGCUCAACUUCGGAAUUGCCUCUGAUACUGUUCGGCUAGAGAGUAGUUGCGGUAGGCGGAAUGUAUGGUGUAGCUGUGAAAUGCUUAGAGAUCAUACAGAACACCGAUUGCGAAGGCAUCUGACCAAGCUACUUUUGACGUUGAGGCACGAAAGCGUGGGGAGCAAACAGGAUUAGAUACCCCAGUAGUC
rnacentral:rRNA from 1 species